GCUCCCUGCCCUGCUCCCGGCCCCAGCUCGCCGAGCUCCGCCUCCUCCCCUGACGCUCCCCCGGCUUCUCCGCCCCCUCCCCGCUUCCCGCGAAUCAGCCGCGUCCCGGGCAGCCGGGCUUCCUGCAGGAUGUGAUGGACCCUCAUGGACACAUCAGGACUGGAGCACUGGACACAAGUAAAGACAGGAACUCCAAGACAGGGCUCCAAGACAGGUUUGUGAUUAGGAUGUGGACUCAUAUAAAGGAAAAAGAAAAGGUCAUCAGUUAUGUAGACGACAUAUUAAUUGCCACUGUAACCAAGGAAGAGAAUCUCAAAAUUCUAGAUGCUGUUCAGUGCAAGAUACAAGAAACUGGAAUUGUGAUCAGUCUGACAAAAGCCCAAAUGAUACAACAAAAAGUUAUUUAUCUUGGCAUGGAGCUGGGCAUACACAGGCACAGGCCUGAUGCACAAGGAGUUGAAUUAAUUUGUAAACUGCCAGCCCCGCAAAACGUGUCAGCGUUAAGGUCUUUCUUGGGCCUUACAGGAUUCUCCCAAGGUUUUAUUGAGGGUUACUCAGAGAUUGCACAACCUCUUUAUAUACUGUGAAAGAAGAGCCAAGAAUGGACUUGGGGCAAAAAACAGAGAGAUGCAUUCUGUCAGGUGCUUGCAAAGACUCUGGUGUUGGUCUACCUUCAGCCUAACAAACCCUUCCAGCUUCAACUAGUGACAACUGAGAAAGGAUUAAGUAUUCUUAUUGCAGAACAACAGAGUACAGUAGUUGUAGUUAUACUUAACGUUGUAAUUAUGUUCCUGAAAAAUGUGACUUUAAGCAAAACAAUGUUAAGCGAAUCCAAUUUCCCCAUAAGAAGUAAUGUAAAUGAGGGGGUUAGGUUCCAGGGAAUUUUUUUCACCAGACAAAAGACUAUAUUAUAGAUAUAUGUAUAUAUAUGCUCAGGAUAUGGAAACAGAUACUGCUUAGUAAUAACCGACUCCUUCUCGAAAUGGAUAGAGGCAUAUCCUACAUGAAACAACACAGCUAGCACUACAGCAAAAAUCCUUUUGGAACAAACCUUCUCUAGAUUUGGUCUUCUGGAGGUAUUAGACUUGGACCAAGGACCCCAUUUUGUAGGAGAGAUAGUAAAGUGUUGUGCCAAGCAUUUAUUAUAAAACAGAAAAUCCAUAUUGCAGGACCCCCGCAAAGCUCGGGUUUGGUCGAGUGAACAAAUCGGACAUUAAAGACUGCUUCACGCAAGAUUGUUGCAAGUUCAGGAAAAGACUGGGACAAAAGAUUAUGGCCAUUAGGACAAAUGGCCAUAAGAUCAACAAUUGUGUCCCAUGGGUACACUCCUCACGAGGUCAUAACGGGCAGAAUGAUAAAAACGCCCAAACAGGGGUGGCUAGGAGGGAUAUCUCCAGAGGAGUAUCAACUCAGAAUUAAAAUAGAUCAGUUUAUAAAUAAGCUGUUGAAUACUAUCAGCGCUGUUCAAAAACAGGUCAGUGCAAUUGAAAAGUAAUGCUAGACAGAUGGAUAAAAGACUGGGUGAUGUGUUAAAAUGCAAGGAAUGGAAUGUAGGUGACAAAUUUUUUUAUCGCUUCUACUCAGAUAAGAACCAUUCUUUAAGACCCAAAUGGGUAGGACCAGUUCUAAGGAUAAGGCCUUUUCCUGUAGCUAUAUUGUAAGGCCUAAAGCCUACGGCCUUUGUCUGCAGCCAUAUUAAGAGAGCAGCAGGCAUUAGCUAAGAAGCAGAAAGUCACAUUCCAUCUCAGUUACAUUAAAACAAUGUAAUAUCAGGCUGUUAAGAAGGAGACCCGUCCUAAUAGCCCCCACUAGCACCAGAUAAAGAAACAGAUCUUAAGAUGGUUAAAGAAAACUUAGUUUCAUAGCCUCCUGUCUGGCAAAAAUCACUUAUCAAUAGCUGUAGUUGUAAAAUCCUCAUUUCUUUAUGGUUUUAUCUUUAUGGUCCCCACUUUCCUAUUGUUUGUAUGAUCUCUGUCUGGUUCUUUGAUUGUUUCUGUCUGUUACAUAAUUAAUUUAGCAAAUUAAUUAAGGUGGUAGGGUAGGAUUGGUUAGAGAAUUUUGUUACAAUAUGUCAGGAUUAGUUAGCAAAAUUUUAGUAUCAUGAUUGGUUAAACUAAAAGUAUAGCUAAGCAGGACUCAAGUUUCACUAUAUAAACUGGGGUCCAAAAGGAAGUUCUUUGGGCACUAACUCCAGCACACAGCCUCAAGAACAGAGCUGCCAGACCUCAACACUAUGCCACUUACACUGUGCAGAAACUGGAGUCCCUCAGAUGACCUGAUACUGACUGACCAUCAAGAAGAGUUCAUCUGUCUUAUUGGGAGUGGUGAGCAUUGUAUGCUUAGCAUGUGCAUUCUGUUUUGGUGAUUGUUAAUAAAUAGAGGUUAAGUAGGAUAUUAAGUAGGCUCUUUCACUAAUAAAAGACCCCAUAAAUCCGCAAAAUAUUAAGUCCUAAGUCCAGAGGGAAUGGGUGUUUACCCAGAGCCUGGAGGAGUAGAGCCUAGAGCCCAUGGAGGGGUAAAGUUAGAGUGCCUAAAUUAAGAGGGUUACGCCUUGAGCCCUAGGAACUAGAUAGGUGCCCUAGAAUGUGCAAGUGACAGAGAAUUUUGUGCAGGUAACACAGUCAUAAUAACAAACAAGGCAAGCCCUACAACUUAUCAAGUAGAAAUAAAGGGGAAGAGAAAAGGAACCCAAAAAUGGUUUCACUCUUUGCAACUGAAAGACUGGAAAGGAUUUGUUACUUAAAUGUUAGUAGUAAUUUUUCUUUUUCUCUGCUUUCCUUUCCUUCCAGGAAUUUCGUCACAUCAUGAUUUUAAUACUUUAUUUAAGUGCAUUCAUUUGUAUAACCCAUUCUCUCAUCGUUAAAAAUAAUGAACACUAUUAUUGUAAAGGCAGUGAAAGCCGAAGCCACCCAGGGGAUGAGGUAGUGCAGGGUAUAGAUUUUGUGCUACCCAACCUAUUGUUCAGGUGAUCACAGUAUAUGCUUAUAAGGAAAGUGGAUACUGUUAUUUGGUGUGGAGGGAAGAAACAAGUCUUUAAUGACCUUCACAACAAAUGACGAGCCUCAUGAAGCAACCUUUUAUGAUAACUGAGGAGAGCAGCUUUCUCUGCUGCAAAAGUUUGCCAAUUGGUGUGUAUGGCAAUUUAAUGAUGACUUUCUGUAAAGUUGUUCUAAUGAAACAGUAAUAUUAGAGCCCUCAAAGUGUUCGUAUAUAAAUUCUGAUCUCCCUCACCAGGUAAAAGUAGGAAUAAUUGUUAACAUUACAGUGGGCAUGAAAUAUGUAGUAGAUUUUAUUAAUGUCAAUCUGUAUACCCCUUUUAAACAUUAUAUUGUUAAUUUCAAGUGUCAAAAUUGUACAGAAUUUUAUGUUAAAGAAUAUUACUCUGUAAAUAAGUUUUAUAAUUGAGGCAAUGUAACCUUUCGUACUGAAUGUUAUGGAAGAGUUUAUGUGAAUGUAAACUCUAAUCAUACAAGCAAAUAGCACUGCUCUACAGCCAAAAUGCUUCUGAA